AUGGGGAUCGGAAACCUGAUUGGUCGAGGGCCUCAAACCCCUGUCCCCGCAGGGCUCCGGGCGGCCGUGACCCUGCUGGAGUGCGGGGGGGACCUCCAGCCCCCCGGGGGGUCCCUGCGCCUCCUCUGCCGAGGGGCCGGGUUCAGCAUUGGCAGUUUCACCCUGCUCUGGAUCCGCCAGAGACCCGGGCAGGGGCUGGAGUGGCUCGCAGGGAUCUGGAGCGAUGGUGGCACCUGGUAUGCGCCAUCGCUCAAGGGCCGGUUCACGAUCUCCAGGGACAACGGGCAGAGCUCGGUGACGCUGACCAUGACCGACCUCCGGGACGAGGAUUCCGGAUCCUAUUUCUGUGCCAAAUGUGUUGAUGGUGGUUGCUAUGAUGGUUAUGCUGAUGCUGGACUUUUUGAUCCCACCCCCAUCCCCGAGUCGGUCAUGGUCAGCGUCACCGAGCUCUGCCCGUCGUCCCUGGAGAUCGUGAACCGGCCCUGCACCGACGGCGCGUACCAGGUGCUGCCACUGCUCCAGAUCCCUGCGAGCCACUCCAGCCCCUGCCCGGGUCUCUGGCGGAUCCAGAACAUGUCGUAG